GACGAACCGUGCGAACGUUGUUCGGAAUCACUGGGCUUAAAGGGCGCGUAGGCGGGCUGUCAAGUCCGGGGUGAAAUCUUUCGGCUCAACCGGGAAAGUGCCUUGGAUACUGAUGGUCUGGAGGGAGGUAGGGGUAUGUGGAACUUCCGGUGGAGCGGUGAAAUGCGUUGAUAUCGGAAGGAACGCCGGUGGCGAAAGCGACGUACUGGACCUCUUCUGACGCUGAGGCGCGAAAGCUAGGGGAGCGAACGGGAUUAGAUACCCCGGUAGUCCUAGCCCUAAACGUUGGGUACUAGGUAGUAGACUUAACAUGGGUUUACUGCCGAAGCAAAAGUGUUAAGUACCCCGCCUGGGGAGUAUGGUCGCAAGGCUGAA
rnacentral:rRNA from 1 species